rnacentral:rRNA from 1 species
UACGUAGGGUGCAAGCGUUGUCCGGAAUUAUUGGGCGUAAAGAGCUCGUAGGCGGUUCGUUGCGUCGGCUGUGAAAUCCCGAGGCUCAACCUCGGGUCUGCAGUCGAUACGAGCAAACUAGAGUGUUGCAGGGGAGACUGGAAUUCCUGGUGUAGCGGUGAAAUGCGCAGAUAUCAGGAGGAACACCGGUGGCGAAGGCGGGUCUCUGGGCCGAUACUGACGCUGAGGAGCGAAAGCGUGGGGAGCGAACAGG